CCUACGGGCGGCAGCAGUCGAGAAUCAUUCACAAUGGGGGAAACCCUGAUGGUGCGACGCCGCAUGGGGGAAUGAAGGUCUUCGGAUUGUAAACCCCUGUCAUGUGGGAGCAAAUUAAAAAGAUAGUACCACAAGAGGAAGAGACGGCUAACUCUGUGCCAGCAGCCGCGGUAAUACAGAGGUCUCAAGCGUUGUUCGGAAUCACUGGGCGUAAGGCGUGCGUAGGCUGUUUCGUAAGUCGUGUGUGAAAGGCGCGGGCUCAACCCGCGGACGGCACAUGAUACUGCGAGACUAGAGUAAUGGAGGGGGAACCGGAAUUCUCGGUGUAGCAGUGAAAUGCGUAGAUAUCGAGAGGAACACUCGUGGCGAAGGCGGGUUCCUGGACAUUAACUGACGCUGAGGCACGAAGGCCAGGGGAGCGAAAGGGAUUAGAUACCCGGGUAGUC
rnacentral:rRNA from 1 species